CACAGCUACAUUCACUUCUCAAUUUUUAAGAAAGACAUUUGGUCUAAACAUUUUGGGAAAUUAGGCUAAAGUGCAAAGUCACAUAAACAUGGCCUUAUAGUAGGCUGUAUUUACCCAUUAAAAAAAGAUGUAUUCUGAUCAUUCAGAAUUUAGACAUUCUAUCUAAAACAUGAACCUUAGAAACAUUCGAGGCAACCGUGCGACUAUAGUUGAGCUGGAGGAAGGGUGUGUGGGGGCUGAGGGCGGUGUGUAUGACAAUACCCAACCGCAUCGGUGGCACAUUUCAAGGCGCGCAUCAUCUUGAGGUCCAACCACUUCCAAACGCAGUAAUGAUUGGGAAACUGACCACCGACAAUUUCCAUUUUUAUCGGAACCUUUAAAUGGACUGAUGGCAGCCUUGGCAGGAUGAUAUAAAAAAAACGGGUUACCACGCAAGGUGACCCUUUAACUGACGGAAUAUAUGGAUUGGACCUCAUCGCCAGGACAGACCUGGGGCGCGUCUGAAAGGGACAGUGCUGUGAACGAGGAGUCCUCAGCCAGGAGCACAGGUCACAUGACAGAUGUAUGUAGUGAUGAAACUGACAACUCACCUUCUCUCCAACCUCACACUCUGAGAGAGUUUGAACAGGUGAGCUCUCCUCUCUAAUUUAAUGCUCUAAACUUUGGAGCCUCAUUAUAUUAACUCAUUGUUGCCAUCUUGUGGGUCCAUAAUGUACUGUAAUGAAGCAGACUGAAGACCAGUCUGUGAGGGAUGAUAAAGCCUGGAUCUUACAGUAAAUGAUUCAGUCUGGAUGUUACAGUAAAUUAUUCAGCCUGGAUGUUACAGUAAAGGAUUCAGUCUGGAUGUUACAGUAAAGGAUUCAGUCUGGAUGUUACAGUAAAUUAUUCAGCCUGGAUGUUACAGUAAAGGAUUCAGCCUGGAUGUUACAGUAAAGGAUUCAGUCUGGAUGUUACAGUACAUUAUUCAGCCUGGAUGUUA
rnacentral:lncRNA from 8 species